rnacentral:lncRNA from 1 species
CACAUCUCUGCCAAGAUAAUACCAAAAAUAACUACGAUCCCACGUUUAGCAUACCACCGAGAACCCCUGCACCUGUCUCUUAUACACAUCUCUGCCAAGAUAAUACCAAAAAUAACUACAAACCCACCAUUUAGCAUACCACCGAGAACCCCUGCACAAAUCGUCCCAAAAACAUCACAGAGUACUGAAAAAAUAGUUCCAUUUCCCCCAGAAUCCACUCGACAGCAAGCACGACCACUUACAUUCAAACGCCGAAAUAAUAUUGGUUCAUUUCAAAGUUCACCGAAUCAACAAACAGAAGCUGCUGACUUUGGGAGUGGACCCAAGAAAGUUGAAUAUCUUGGAAAAGCCAAUGAAUCAAUGAAUACAAUCAGAACAAGACCAUCAGCCAAAGAUGCUCCAUUGCAACCACCUCUUCAAACAACUGAAAUGAACAACAUUCAGCCAAUGAGCCAAUCAGAAGAGAAUGCUUUACCAGUAGUUCCAUCCCAAUCAAUCGCUGUUCCUGCUCUUCUGAAUGGAGAGCUAGUUACAAGUUCAUUGUCACCUUCAAAAGUAAAGCUGCCAUACCUUGAUGGUCAAGAAGAGAUGGUUUCACAAGAUUCAUUUUCAAGUGAUUUAAGUAAUGCAGAAGAAGCAUCAUCAACCAAAUAUUUGCUGUCUCAGAUCAAUAACCAGAAGGGAGGCAAAGACAAUCAGAGCAAUACUCCUGCAGGCAACAUACACAUUAUUGAACAGCACAACAUCAGAGGCAGUUCCAUUAUCCAGAUAAUCAAUGAGAAUUGUGGAGGUUUUGUGUCGAAGUCUCUCGAUGAAUUUCUGAACUGCUUGAAAGCCACAAAGCUCAAUGAUACACCAAAUUUUAAGGAUUUUGCAGCCAACCUGCAUCACAAAGUACAAAAAUCAAGACCCAAUACACCUGCGGUUCCUCCUGCAUUGAUGAAAACACCAACACGUCAAGGACGCUUUCUCACCAAGAGGAAUGUGGAACACGUAAGGAACAAGAGGUCAGCGACAACUUACAACCGAGGACAAGACAAAUGCAACAACAACAGGUUCAUAAGCAGGCAACCGGUGUAUGGUGGCUGCAGUCCACAAGCCAAUGGUGGGUCAAAGAACACAGCCCAUACCACCACGUGAUGUCAUGCUGAAGUUACAGUUGUCAUGGUAAUUUCAAAGGACGUUGUGAACAAUUCUCCUUCUGUGCAGUGAAUUCAGUCAAAUGAUAUCAAGGAUGGAUGUGAAUAUCUGGCAUGCUGACAACAAUGAGCCAAAUUGAGCACAUAGCAGUAUAUAUAUAUAUAUAUAUAUAUAUAUAUAUAUAUAUAUAUAUAGGGGGGGGGGUAUAUAUAUAUAUAUAUAUAUAUAUAUAUAUAUAUAUAUAUAUACCACAUCUUGUGAUAUUGAGUGUCUUGAAGCCAUCAUUAUCCCUGAAUGAUUUAUGGAUUGAGUCACAAAAUUCAUACACCGCAAAAACGACUAUUUCUAAAAUGUGGAGACUUCAUUUACCGCUGUACGAGUUACACAGUUAAUGAAGCACAAGAAAAGGCCUUGUGUUGGUGGUAGUGAUGGAUUGUGGGUAAAGGUGAGGGGGGGAGGGCAAUAAAUGAUGAAGCAAAAUAAUGAAAUAAUCCUUACAAUCUCACUUUCAUCAAUUACAAGUCCCCCUCAUGCUGCCCCUUAAUGGGACCAUGCAUUUCAACCUGAUUUUAUCCACAUUAUCCUUCCCCAUUAGUUUGUGGGAGUCACCCCUCAAUUUUUUGUCCUUUGUAUUGCAAACUAGGUGGUCUUGCACUGUCUGUUUCUAUUCCAUCUCUUGUCUCCAAAUAGUGGUCAUUCUCUGAUAUAUCUAGUCAGUGGCAUCAGCACACACACAAUGGAAUAUCCACACAUUACAUGAUAUGCAGAAAUUCAAGGAGUAAUUGGGUAUGUUUGGAGGUUUGAGAAUAUCAAACAUACCAAAAAUACAAAACAGAAUGGAUGCUAUCAUAACUUACUGUCCCCAGAAAGGACAUCUACUGUAAUUUAUUGUUGCAUGUACUUGUAAAUAAAACUUUCAGAAC